GUGUCAGCAGCCGCGGUAAUACGGAGGAGGCAAGCGUUAUCCGGAAUUAUUGGGCGUAAAGCGUUCGCAGGUGGCUCGCUCAAGUCUGCUGUCAAAGACCGGGGCUUAACUCCGGAAAGGCAGUGGAAACUGACAAGCUAGAGGGCUCUAGGGGUAGAGGGAAUUCCCGGUGUAGCGGUGAAAUGCGUAGAGAUCGGGAAGAACAUCGGUGGCGAAAGCGCUCUACUGGAGAGCAACUGACACUCAGGGACGAAAGCUAGGGGAGCGAAUGGGAUUAGAUACCCCAGUAGUCCUAGCCGUAAACGAUGGAUACUAGGCGUGGCUCGUAUCGACCCGAGCCGUGCCGUAGCUAACGCGUUAAGUAUCCCGCCUGGGGAGUACGCACGCAAGUGUGAAACUUAAAUGAAUUGACGGGG
rnacentral:rRNA from 1 species